rnacentral:ncRNA from 1 species
AAGGUCGGCGGUGCGGUUGGUUCACCGGUUCGCUCGCUCGGGCCGGUGAGGCAAGAGGGAACCCGGUGUGAGUCCGGGACUGCCCCGCAGCGGUGAGUGGGAACGACCGCCGUGAAAUCGCACUGGGCGGCAUCAUCAGCCACCUGGGAAGCGACGGCCAGUAGGAAACACCGGUGACGAACUACCGGUGACGCCCACGAGUCCGAAGACCUGCCAUCCGUGCGUGGGCCGC